UACGUAGGGACCAAGCGUUGUUCGGAUUUACUGGGCGUAAAGGGCGCGUAGGCGGCGAAUCAAGUCAGCUGUGAAAUCUCCGAGCUUAACUCGGAACGGUCAGCUGAUACUGUUUUGCUAGAGUGCAGAAAGGGCAACCGGAAUUCUUGGUGUAGCGGUGAAAUGCGUAGAUAUCAAGAGGAACACCUGAGGCGAAGGCGGGUUGCUAGGCUGACACUGACGCUGAAGAGCGAAAGCGUGGGGAGCGAACAGG
rnacentral:rRNA from 1 species